UCCUCCUGCAACAUGUAAGGCUGGCCAAGA
rnacentral:piRNA from 1 species